AGGGGAUUAGUGGCGAACGGGUGAGUAACACGUGGGCAAUCUGCCCUUCACUCUGGGACAAGCCCUGGAAACGGGGUCUAAUACCGGAUACGACACACGACCGCAUGGUCUGUGUGUGGAAAGCUCCGGCGGUGAAGGAUGAGCCCGCGGCCUAUCAGCUUGUUGGUGGGGUGAUGGCCUACCAAGGCGACGACGGGUAGCCGGCCUGAGAGGGCGACCGGCCACACUGGGACUGAGACACGGCCCAGACUCCUACGGGAGGCAGCAGUGGGGAAUAUUGCACAAUGGGCGAAAGCCUGAUGCAGCGACGCCGCGUGAGGGAUGACGGCCUUCGGGUUGUAAACCUCUUUCAGCAGGGAAGAAGCGAGAGUGACGGUACCUGCAGAAGAAGCGCCGGCUAACUACGUGCCAGCAGCCGCGGUAAUACGUAGGGCGCAAGCGUUGUCCGGAAUUAUUGGGGCGUAAAGAGCUCGUAGGCGGCUUGUCACGUCGGAUGUGAAAGCCCGGGGCUUAACCCCGGGUCUGCAUUCGAUACGGGCAGGCUAGAGUUCGUAGGGGAGAUCGGAA
rnacentral:rRNA from 1 species